GCAAGUCGAACGAAGUCUUCGGACUUAGUGGCGGACGGGUGAGUAACGCGUGGGAACAUACCCAAAGGUACGGAAUAGCCUCGGGAAACUGGGAGUAAUACCGUAUGUGCCCUUCGGGGGAAAGAUUUAUCGCCUUUGGAUUGGCCCGCGUUGGAUUAGGUAGUUGGUGGGGUAAUGGCCUACCAAGCCGACGAUCCAUAGCUGGUUUGAGAGGAUGAUCAGCCACACUGGGACUGAGACACGGCCCAG
rnacentral:rRNA from 1 species